rnacentral:misc_RNA from 1 species
GAACUGGCUAGGGUUUCUUCUCGAGAUCGUAGUCCAGAUCCUGCGCGGGACGCCGUCGUGGGCUCAGAUACUUUUCUCGGCUUCCCCUUCCUUCAAGCCGCUGGGAUCGGAGGAGCUCCCCACCAAUGCGCCACCGCCUCCUCCUCUCACCGCUGCUGCGCCGUUUGAGAAACUCACGGUAGUGCUUGACUUGGAUGAAACUUUA